rnacentral:tRNA from 2 species
AAGGAUUUAAGUUAAAAAAACUAUUAACCUUCAAAGUUGAAAUUGCUUAAAUAAAAAAGUAAGCCUUA